rnacentral:rRNA from 1 species
GAGUAAUAUAUCGGAACGUGCCCAGUAGUGGGGGAUAACUGCUCGAAAGAGCAGCUAAUACCGCAUACGACCUGAGGGUGAAAGGGGGGGAUCGCAAGACCUCUCGCUAUUGGAGCGGCCGAUAUCAGAUUAGCUAGUUGGUGGGGUAAAGGCCUACCAAGGCAACGAUCUGUAGUUGGUCUGAGAGGACGACCAGCCACACUGGGACUGAGACACGGCCCAGACUCCUACGGGAGGCAGCAGUGGGGAAUUUUGGACAAUGGGCGCAAGCCUGAUCCAGCAAUGCCGCGUGCAGGAAGAAGGCCUUCGGGUUGUAAACUGCUUUUGUCAGGGAAGAAAUCUUCUGGGCUAAUACCCCGGGAGGAUGACGGUACCUGAAGAAUAAGCACCGGCUAACUACGUGCCAGCAGCCGCGGUAAUACGUAGGGUGCGAGCGUUAAUCGGAAUUACUGGGCGUAAAGCGUGCGCAGGCGGCUUUGCAAGACAGAUGUGAAAUCCCCGGGCUCAACCUGGGAACUGCAUUUGUGACUGCAAGGCUAGAGUACGGCAGAGGGGGAUGGAAUUCCGCGUGUAGCAGUGAAAUGCGUAGAUAUGCGGAGGAACACCAAUGGCGAAGGCAAUCCCCUGGGCCUGUACUGACGCUCAUGCACGAAAGCGUGGGGAGCAAACAGGAUUAGAUACCCUGGUAGUCCACGCCCUAAACGAUGUCAACUGGUUGUUGGACGGCUUGCUGUUCAGUAACGAAGCUAACGCGUGAAGUUGACCGCCUGGGGAGUACGGCCGCAAGGUUGAAACCCAAAGGAAUUGACGGGGACCCGCACAAGCGGUGGAUGAUGUGGUUUAAUUCGAUGCAACGCGAAAAACCUUACCUACCCUUGACAUGUCAAGAAUUCUGCAGAGAUGUGGAAGUGCUCGAAAGAGAACUUGAACACAGGUGCUGCAUGGCCGUCGUCAGCUCGUGUCGUGAGAUGUUGGGUUAAGUCCCGCGACGAGCGCAACCCUUGUCAUUAGUUGCUACGCAAGAGCACUCUAAUGAGACUGCCGGUGACAAACCGGAGGAAGGUGGGGAUGACGUCAGGUCCUCAUGGCCCUUAUGGGUAGGGCUACACACGUCAUACAAUGGCCGGUACAGAGGGCUGCCAACCCGCGAGGGGGAGCCAAUCCCAGAAAACCGGUCGUAGUCCGGAUCGUAGUCUGCAACUCGACUGCGUGAAGUCGGAAUCGCUAGUAAUCGCGGAUCAGCUUGCCGCGGUGAAUACGUUCCCGGGUCU